rnacentral:lncRNA from 1 species
CACCAGCCACCCAACCCCGCUUCAGUUUCAAUCCCAAAUUUCUUGUCCACGUUCCACUUUACGGCUGUCUUAAAACAUUUUUCUGCAUUUAAGAAUUGAUAUACAAUUUGUAGCUUUCCAACAAUUUCCCUGAUACAGUCAGUAUUAAUCAAGAUUCAAGCAUCGAACCAAAUUGCCAACUUUUGGAUUUGUUCUAUCCACAACACACUCAGUUCUUUGAAGUUUUCUGCCUCCUCCUUAAAAGAGUAAGUCUUUAUUUGCUUGCUUAUCUUUUUUUCUUACGUUAACUCACCUGGGGUUGUUUAUAUGGUAUAAAAGUUGAUCUUUUUUGCUACAUGUUAUAAUCUUAUUCCUAUCCUUUGCUCAAAUUUGUCAUUUACUCAUACAAUUAUGUGGUGUGGGGAUCGCUCUAUACGAAUAUAUAUAGGAGCUUUAUCAAUCAAUUUUGAGGAUCCAUAUUACAGUUCAUCUGGUGUUAAUUUGGGGUUAAAAAUCUUUGCUAGAAUCCUUCCCCAACUUUCUGUGACGAUUAAAAGGCAAAUCAUUUUGUUUAUAUUGACUGUUACUGCAGACUUUUUGACUGAUAAUUACCGGUGUACAAACCGAACCGGAAACCCGCACCAAACCUAGAAGUCAAACCAAACCGAUUAGAAAACCCGACUAGGUUUGGUAUUGAGUAAAAAACACGAACCAAACUGACAUAUAAAUAUAUAAUUUUUAUAUAUACUUGAUUUGGUUUGGUUUCGAUAAAAACCGAACCAACCCGAUCCAUGUACUCCCCUACCGAUAAUGAUGCCUUACCGAUAAUGAUGCCGUCCUGGAUGUGUUGGAAUCCUUACACUGCUGAAGGACUCAUAGCCAGCAAGCUUUUGUAUUAUGCCUUAACACUAGCUUGGUACUUGAUCUGUUAUUAAUAAAAUGUAUCUUCUUCAUAAAAAAAAAAUAAAAAAAAAAAGAAAAGGACUAAGUGCAAGACGACAAGAAAAUAGUGAAGGCACUUAAUAAAAUAUUGAGAUAUCUAUAACUGAAGUGAACAUGCCCAUAUUUAUCACAUCCUCCUUAUACUGUUUUGAUAGAAGCUAGGACAAAAUUUUGAUGUUACCAUUUUGAUUGAUACACUACCAUUGGUUAAACAAUGGUUGUGCCACCAACGGAAUUCUAUUGUAACCUACGAGUUUUUCAUUCAGAAUCCAAUUCCUUUUCUGUCAACCAUUACAAUAAAAGCAUACUUCAUCGACUCAGAACGUGCACCACAAAAUAAUUUUCGAAUGUUCCCU